rnacentral:sRNA from 1 species
GGCCAGUCCCAAAAUGGAACAUAAGGAAGUGGUUCUUCUACUUCUUUUAUUUCUGAAAUCAGGUCAAGGAGAGCCUCUGGAUGACUAUGUGAAUACCCAGGGGGCUUCACUGUUCAGUGUCACUAAGAAGCAGCUGGGGGCAGGAAGUAUAGAAGAAUGUGCAGCCAAAUGUGAGGAGGACAAAGAAUUCACCUGCAGGGCAUUCCAAUAUCACAGUAAAGAGCAACAAUGUGUGAUAAUGGCUGAAAACAGGAAGUCCUCCAUAAUCAUUAGGAUGAGAGAUGUAGUUUUAUUUGAAAAGAAAGGGUGACCAUGGUCCUUGGGCCCUAACAUCUGGACGAAGCCUUGUAAAACAGAAAUACUGAGGUGUUUUAAUCCUCAGAAACAUUUAGAUUGGGACACAAAUCUUAUUUUUACUCUUAAAUUUUUCACAUUUUGGGGGACAUGGUCUAUAUUUUUCUCAGAUUUCUGAAAUGUUGUCUUUUAAAAAUGUGUAAAAGUUACAGUUCCUUUUCUAUAGUUUAUUUUAAAAUGUGGGUCAAUAGUCCCACUGCUUAGAAUAAGAGGCAGACAGGAUUUCAAUAGAAAUUGCAUGCCUUUUUAGAUGUGCAAAUGUUUCAUUAAGCAUUUCCCAUCAAGUAUAUCCCAUCAAGUAUGCUCCCAUUAAGCAUAUCCCAUCAAGUAUAAAUAUUUGAAGGGAUGUAUGACACUUUAAAAACUGUUUCCUCUACUGUGUUGGUGGCCAGGUAUUAAGACC